UCCUCGGUAGUAUAGUGGUCAGUAUCCCCGCCUGUCACGCGGGAGACCGGGGUUCGAUUCCCGCCGGGAGU